CUACGGAGGGUGCAAGCGUUAUUCGGAAUCACUGGGCGUAAAGGACGCGUAGGCGGGUUGGAAAGUCAGAUGUGAAAUCCUACAGCUUAACUGUAGAACUGCAUUUGAAACUGCUAACCUAGAGUAUGGGAGGGGGAGAUGGAAUUAGUGGUGUAGGGGUAAAAUCCGUAGAUAUCACUAGGAAUACCGAAAGCGAAGGCGAUCUCCUGGAACAUAACUGACGCUAAGGCGUGAAAGCGUGGGGAGCAAACAGGAUUAGAAACCCUAGUAGUCC
rnacentral:rRNA from 1 species